rnacentral:rRNA from 1 species
UGAGGAAUAUUGGUCAAUGGCCGAGAGGCUGAACCAGCCAAGUCGCGUGAGGGAUGACGGCCCUACGGGUUGUAAACCUCUUUUGUCGGGGAGCAAAGAGAGUCACGUGUGGCUCAUUGAGAGUACCCGAAGAAAAAGCAUCGGCUAACUCCGUGCCAGCAGCCGCGGUAAUACGGAGGAUGCGAGCGUUAUCCGGAUUUAUUGGGUUUAAAGGGUGCGCAGGCGGAGGUGCAAGUCAGUGGUCAAAUUGCGGGGCUCAACCCCGUACUGCCGUUGAAACUGCAUCCCUUGAGUGCGCGAGAAGUAUGCGGAAUGCGUGGUGUAGCGGUGAAAUGCAUAGAUAUCACGCAGAACUCCGAUUGCGAAGGCAGCAUACCGGCGCGCAACUGACGCUCAUGCACGAAAGCGUGGGUAUCGAACAGG